rnacentral:rRNA from 1 species
UACGAGGGGUGCAAGCGUUGCUCGGAAUUAUUGGGCGUAAAGGGGAGGUAGGUGGUCUCAUUUGUCUGGGGUGAAAGCCUUGAGCUUAACUCAAGAAGUGCCCCAGAAACGGUGAGACUAGAGUUCUGGAGAGGGUCGUGGAAUUCCCGGUGUAGCGGUGAAAUGCGUAGAGAUCGGGAGGAACACCAGAGGCGAAGGCGGCGACCUGGACAGACACUGACACUCAACUACGAAAGCGUGGGGAGCAAACAGG